rnacentral:lncRNA from 1 species
GAUGGGGCGGGACAGACUCGGUCAGAGCUCGGGAACAGCUCCAGAGCCACUCGUGCCCAGAGUGGAUUCACUGUCACACAUUCCCUGCAAGAACGUUUGUGAGAGGAAAAGCAAAGUGCAAGCCUGAGAACUCUUGGAGGUCCAAAGGAGCUGCUCCUGCCUCCUUGUUCACACCAGAGAGGGGCUUGGAGUCUGUCCAGUGCUUCCAUGAACUCCAGUUCCAUCCUGCUGCUGCCCACAGGUCUCCAUACUUUAAAUCAUUAUAUCCUGAUUAAAGUAUGCCAGCAACACACCCCUUCAAAAGAAAAAGCUUUUAGUUCAACGUGAGAUAUAUGGCAUUUGGGGAAAAAAGGCUUGACUUGCAUAGUUCUGAUCUCAGUUGCUGAUUCAGUGCUGUUCCUGGGAUAUAUCUUCUUGCUCGUGUCUUGGGCUUAGGUAAGUAGACCAGUACUCUCUAUACCAUUUUGGUUUUUUACCCAUUUGCUUUACAGAAUGGUUUCAGGGAUAUAAUUAGGUAAGCAGUGUGAAAAGUGUAUUCCCAGAUGCUUUUUGGGCAGUUCUUCCUGAGGUAACCACCAACAGCCUCUCUCAGCUUAAUGAUGUCUACUGUUGGCAGUGCUGCUGCCAGCGAGUGAGGUUAAUGUCAGGAAAUAAAAUAAAAUCUGCUUAGUAAACA